rnacentral:rRNA from 1 species
AGAGUUUGAUCAUGGCUCAGAAUCAACGCUGGCGGCGCGCCUAACACAUGCAAGUCGAACGAGAAAGGGGUAGCAAUACCCCCGGUACAGUGGCGAACGGGUGAGUAACACGUGGGUAACCUGCCCUCGGGUUCGGAAUAACCUGCCGAAAGGCGGGCUAAUACCGGAUGACGACACGGGGUCUCUGGACUCCGUGCCCAAAGCUGACCUCUUCAUGAAAGUUGGCGCCUGGGGAGGGGCCCGCGUCCCAUUAGCUAGUUGGUGAGGUAACGGCUCACCAAGGCGACGAUGGGUAGCCGGCCUGAGAGGGCGACCGGCCACAGUGGAACUGAGACACGGUCCACACUCCUACGGGAGGCAGCAGUGAGGAAUCUUGCGCAAUGGGCGAAAGCCUGACGCAGCGACGCCGCGUGGACGAUGAAGGCCUUCGGGUCGUAAAGUCCUGUCGGGUGGGAAGAAUUGGUUUGGGGCUAAUAUCCCCAUACCUUGACUGUACCACCAGAGGAAGCCCCGGCUAACUCCGUGCCAGCAGCCGCGGUAAUACGGAGGGGGCCAGCGUUGCUCGGAAUUAUUGGGCGUAAAGGGCGCGUAGGCGGCUGGGUAAGUCUGAUGUGAAAUCCCACGGCUUAACCGUGGAAUUGCAUCUUAUACUGCCCGGCUAGAGUCUGGGAGAGGGAAGUGGAAUUCCCGGUGUAGCGGUGAAAUGCGUAGAUAUCGGGAGGAACACCAGUGGCGAAGGCGGCUUCCUGGACCAGUACUGACGCUGAGGCGCGAAAGCUAGGGGAGCAAACAGGAUUAGAUACCCUAGUAGUCC